rnacentral:misc_RNA from 1 species
GAAUUCAGGCUCUGUUGCCCCGAGGUUUCGGGCAAUUGAUAGUUGGGAAGAUCCUGAGAACAGUGUUCCACUCUGUGAACCUUACCAGCCGCAACAUCAGCAGCAACAACAGCUUAUCAGUGAAUACAAGAGAGCCUUAGCAGAGCUCACUAUUAAUUCCAAGCCGAUAAUCACGAAUUUGACUAUUAUUGCUGGUGAAAAUAUGCGUGAUGCGAAGGCCAUUGCUGCUAUUAUCUGCGCGAACAUUCUUGAGAUUC